AAGGAUUUUUUAAUAGGUUGAUUAUUUAAAAUUUAAUUAAAUAAAAAAGGUUCGAUUCCUUUAAUCCUUA
rnacentral:tRNA from 1 species